UUAUCAAGAAUCAUGCCUUUCCUGUUGCAGAGUAGAAGUAAACAAAAUCAAGAAAUCUCCAAUGCUCACACAAUUUUAACAGGUUUGGCCAAUACAACAGAGACGUGAAAACCAACAGAUGUCCCCCACCAAUCCAGGAAUGAGUGAAUUCUUGCUCUAUCAGGACCUGUGAGACUUCCCUCAAGAGCUGGUUGUUAAAAAGAGCCUAGGACCUCUUCCCUCUCUUGCUUCCUCUCUUGCCUUGUGAUCUUCACAUCCUGACUCUCCUUCACCUUCCACUCUGAGUGGAAGUUUCCUGAGGCUCUCGCAAGAAGCAGAUAUCGGCACCAUGCUUCUUUUACAGUCUUCAUAGUCCUGAGAACAAGGAUGACUAACAAAAACCUGAAAUGCAUAGUAUGCAAGAAGGAGUGUUGUAAGAACUGUGUAGGAUCUAAAUCCUAGGAUUCCUUGACAUUCUGUUACUGAGAGUCUGCAGUCUCAAGACUUUAAGGAUAAUAGUUCCAAAGGAAUGUUAUCUGUACGUUUUUUCUGAGUAAACACUUCCAUUUCAAGCAAAACCUUGCUAUUUGGUGGAAAUGACCUCACUCUUAGCAUCAGGGGUGUGGCUGAUUGGCUUAACCUAAUCUAUGCCCCACCCCUUCUGGCAUUUAUUCCUUCUAGCCACAAUAAUUGGCUCAGGAAUUGAUACAUGAUCCAAUUGGGGCUAAUGAAAGAGACUGAAUCCAAAAACAUAAGCAGAAGCCUGCUUGGGUCCUCCUCUCUCAUUGCUUGGAGUCAUACUGGUGAGUAUAGGAUAAAUUCUGGAGCCUGGAAUAUGAAAACUGACUGUCAACACAUGGUAGAGUUGUCACUGAGCUGCUGCCUCCAGCUUCAGUAGGGACCAGUUCUAUCUCUAAACUGUUUCAGUUUUGUGAUGCAAUAAAUUCCACUUACUGCUGACAGUUCAGAUCAACUCAACAAUAUUCCAAGUGGGCUUUGCAGAGCAUCUUCUGGACUAAGUAGAAGGAGAAGGAGAAGGAGCCAGACCUUCCCUGUGGCCAUGCUUUCUCUAAAACAGCCCUGAUGACUUACUUUUUCAGGUUGAGGUCUGAGUAAGCCUCCAUAUUAUGUAAUAAUAAUUAUAUUAUUAUGUAAUAAUAUAAAAUAAUGAUAUCAAUUAU
rnacentral:lncRNA from 1 species